rnacentral:lncRNA from 1 species
CAGUCACUGGCUAUGGGGCCACCUGGGAGGGGUGUGUGAAUUCCCAGGCACUUGCAUCUCUGCAGGAGUGCAAGGGCGGGCCCCUGAAGUAGGUUUAAGUGAUCGCUCUUGGAGGUGAAGCAUAACGAAGCUGGGGGAGCAACAAGAAAUACCUUCAUCUUUUUAGAGAAGAGUGAAAUUGAAGCCAGAGAGGUUGGUUAACUUGCCCAAGAUCACAAAGCUUCCAAGAUGAAGAGCUGGGAUUUCAUUUCAGGUUUCCCAUCUGGCAACAUCCAAGCCCUUUCCAUAAUUCCACACUGUGAAUUUGCUUCCCAAACCAAGAGUGGGAUACAAUUAGCUGGGGAGUGCAACUCAUCCCUCAAUCACUGAUCUGAGUAUGGAUAUCAAAAGAAACAUUUCCUGAAGCAAGACGCUGAGCUGGAAGCUUCCACGGUUGUGCCUAUACUGUGGCAGUCCUGCGCGAACCUGUCCGGCCCCAUGGAAACCUGCAGGGCUGAGGUCUCCCAGGGCAAAUGGGGCUGCAGGAUGCUCACUACACCCCCAGAAACAGGAGAAGGGACAAGGACACAGGACUGUCUGUGAGCAACACUGACUUUCGGCACAGGAGAGAUCCUUUGCCCCUCCUCACUCCAGAAUAUUGCUAAGAACAUAAUUGAUCUCUCUCCUUCUCAUUCACUCACAUCUCCCAAAACAAAGGAAGAGAGACCCAUUCAACUGAUCAGAGCCUGACUUUCCAUUGCUGAGCCAUGUUUUACUACUGAGUGGGGCAACUGCUUUAAAAAUCCAUUUGUUGCUGCAUUUUCUUGCCAGCUAUUUCUUCAUUUACAGGGUUCUGAGAGGCCUGGCCUCUGCUUCCUCCGCCCAUCCAAUAAGUACCACCUGUCUGUUGAGGGGCUCAGUGGCUUCAAGGUUUCAACCCUGGCUACAUCAUGGAACCAUCUGGGGAGCUUUCCAAGUACUGAUGCCUGAACCUUAGUCACAGAUUAAUGGAAACCUGAGGAAUGGGGACCCAUGACCUGGAGUCUGUAAGGCUUCCCCAUUGAUGUGAUGCUUGGUGAAAUCUGUUUGGGUGAGUACAUUCAGUGGCCACUUGCCAUGACUUUUCCUGUCUCUAUAGCUACAUCUGGGUCCCUGGAUCCCUGCAACUAGAUUUAAGCUGGAGGAAGAAGUUUCCAUUUUGGCCUUGAGCCUAAGCCUAGUUUUUCAAACCUGCUUUUGGCAGAACAGUGCAAUGAGGCAUGAGAGUUUUGCCAAUAUACUAAUAAAGCCGUGCUCUCCCUCCCAUCUGCCGCACGAUCCCUGUGGGCCUGCUCUACUGUCCUGGACCUGGAGGAGAAGGGGAGCAUGUGGGAGCAACUGGGAGCCACGACUCCCUGGCAAACAACAUUGGGGACUUUCAACACCAUUUUAAAAAUAGAGUCACUUAUUUCAGUAUAUCUCGGCCAGUUCAGCAAAUGACUUUAGGUGGCUUACACUGUAAAUAUAGAAAACAAAAUGAGGAUAAAAAUAAGAAUAGAGAUUUUGGACCAAGGAAUUAUAAUGUCAAGUAGAGAGCAAGGCAAUUAAAAAAAAAAAAAAAGAGCAGAAGAGUGCAGAUCAAAAACAAAGCAGGCAGUGUAUAUACUGAGAUACUUCAACCUGUUAAGAGUAAUUGGGCAUUGCUUGAUUCAAUAACACACAUUUUGAGUGUAAGAACUAGACGUUAUUCCCAUUUGACAGAUGAUGAAACUGAGACUUAACAGAUUGUCUGAGGCCUGGCAGCUAGUGACCCCAGAGUCACAUUCAGGCUGCCUGUGGUGGGGCCUUUGUUCCUACAGCACCUCAUGACCUCGCUAAAGUGGUUUAGCCCUGAGCUUCCAUUCAACCAGAGGGAAGAAGACUGACACAGCCAGACACAAACAUAUUCAUUAUCAGAAAGUAUGAAGCAUUCUAGUUCCCCAGGAAAAGCAGUAUUUCCCUCAAUCACUCAAU